UCGAGAAUCAUUCGCAAUGGGGGAAACCCUGACGGUGCGACGCCGCGUGGAGGAUGAAGGCUUUCGGGUCGUAAACUCCUGUCACCAGAGAACAAGGAUGUUCAUCUAAUCACUGAACAUUUGAUGGUAUCUGGAGAGGAAGGGACGGCUAACUCUGUGCCAGCAGCCGCGGUAAUACAGAGGUCCCGAGCGUUGUUCGGAUUCACUGGGCGUAAAGGGUGUGUAGGAGGCUUGGAAAGUCAGCUGUGAAAACUUCGUGCUCAACGCGGAGCCUGCAACUGAUACUCCCGAGCUAGAGGAUCGGAGGGGCAAACGGAAUUCCAGGUGUAGCAGUGAAAUGCGUAGAUAUCUGGAGGAACACCGGUGGCGAAGGCGGUUUGCUGGACGAUUCCUGACUCUGAAACACGAAAGCUGGGGGAGCAAACGGGAUUAGAUACCCCCGUAGUCC
rnacentral:rRNA from 1 species